CGGGGGGGGUCUAUACAUGCAGUCGAGCGGACAGAAGGGAGCUUGCUCCCGGAUGUUAGCGGCGGACGGGUGAGUAACACGUGGGUAACCUGCCUGUAAGACUGGGAUAACUCCGGGAAACCGGAGCUAAUACCGGAUAGUUCCUUGAACCGCAUGGUUCAAGGAUGAAAGACGGUUUCGGCUGUCACUUACAGAUGGACCCGCGGCGCAUUAGCUAGUUGGUGAGGUAACGGCUCACCAAGGCGACGAUGCGUAGCCGACCUGAGAGGGUGAUCGGCCACACUGGGACUGAGACACGGCCCAGACUCCUACGGGAGGCAGCAGUAGGGAAUCUUCCGCAAUGGACGAAAGUCUGACGGAGCAACGCCGCGUGAGUGAUGAAGGUUUUCGGAUCGUAAAGCUCUGUUGUUAGGGAAGAACAAGUGCAAGAGUAACUGCUUGCACCUUGACGGUACCUAACCAGAAAGCCACGGCUAACUACGUGCCAGCAGCCGCGGUAAUACGUAGGUGGCAAGCGUUGUCCGGAAUUAUUGGGCGUAAAGGGCUCGCAGGCGGUUUCUUAAGUCUGAUGUGAAAGCCCCCGGCUCAACCGGGGAGGGUCAUUGGAAACUGGGAAACUUGAGUGCAGAAGAGGAGAGUGGAAUUCCACGUGUAGCGGUGAAAUGCGUACAGAUGUGGAGGAACACCAGUGGCGAAAGCGACUCUCUGGUCUGUAACUGACGCUGAGGAGCGAAAGCGUGGGGAGCGAACACGAUUAGAUACCCUGGUACUCCACGCCGUAUACGAUGAGUGCUAAGUGUUAGGGUGUUUCCGCCUCUUAGUGCUGCAUCUAACUCAUUACUCACUCCCCUCUGGGGAGUACUGCUCACAAGACUGAAACUCACAGCAAUUGAGGGGGGCGCGCACAACCGGUGAAUCAUGUGAUUUAAUUCGAAGCAUCUCGAAAACCUUACAGGUCUUGACAUCCUCGGACAACCUACAAAUAGGGCUGUCCCGUUCUGGACAAGCGACGACUUGUUGCAUAGCGGUUCGUCAGCUACUUGUCGUGCAUUGCUUGUGUUAAUCCCUCCAACAACAGCAGAUCCUAGAUCGGUAACUAGAUCAGGCAUUCAAUCAGGCAGUGCCUACGUUGCAGUGUCAGUCAAUGGCGAAGAAACUAGGUGAAGCUGCAUUCACUAAUUGAUCCGACGCG
rnacentral:rRNA from 1 species